CACGUAGGCACCAAGCGUUGUCCGGAUUUAUUGGGCGUAAAGGGCUCGUAGGCGGUUCGGUAAGUCGGGUGUGAAAACUCUGGGCUCAACCCAGAGCCGCCACCCGAUACUGCUGUGACUCGAGUGCGGUAGGGGAGCGGGGAAUUCCUGGUGUAGCGGUGAAAUGCGCAGAUAUCGUAAGGAAGACCAGUGGCGAAGGCGGGUCUCUGGACAGUUCCUGACGCUGAGGCACGAAGGCCAGGGGAGCAAACGGG
rnacentral:rRNA from 1 species